rnacentral:tRNA from 1 species
GCGCCCGUAGCUCAGUUGGAUAGAGCGGCGGUUUCCUAAACCGCAGGUCGCGCGUUCGAAUCGCGCCGGGCGUACCA